UACGGAGGGUGCAAGCGUUAUCCGGAAUCAUUGGGUUUAAAGGGUCCGCAGGCGGUCUUAUAAGUCAGUGGUGAAAGCCUACAGCUCAACUGUAGAACUGCCAUUGAUACUGUAAGACCUGAAUUCGAUCGAAGUGGGCGGAAUAUGACAUGUAGCGGUGAAAUGCUUAGAUAUGUCAUAGAACACCGAUAGCGAAGGCAGCUCACUAGGUCUGGAUUGACGCUCAGGGACGAAAGCGUGGGGAGCAAACAGG
rnacentral:rRNA from 1 species